CCUACGGGUGGCAGCAGUGGGGGAUAUUGGACAAUGGGGGAAACCCUGAUCCAGCGACGCCGCGUGAGUGAAGAAGUAUUUCGGUAUGUAAAGCUCUAUCAGCAGGGAAGAAAGAAAUGACGGUACCCGAGUAAGAAGCCCCGGCUAACUACGUGCCAGCAGCCGCGGGAAUACGUAGGGGGCAAGCGUUAUCCGGAUUGACUGGGUGUAAAGGGAGCGUCGACGGGAAUGCAAGUCUGGAGGGAAAGGCGGGGGCCCAACCCCCGGACUGCUCUGGAAACUGUGUAACUGGAGUGCAGGAGAGGCAGGCGGAAUUCCUAGUGUAGCGGUGAAAUGCAUAGAUAUUAGGAGGAACACCAGUCGCGAAGGCGGCCUGCUGGACUGUAACUGACGUUGAGGCUCGAAAGCGUGGGGAGCAAACAGGAUUAGAUACCCUUGUAGUC
rnacentral:rRNA from 1 species